CAUUAGAUGGCUGAAAGCAAGUCCUGGUCUCUUAAACCAUUUAAUAGUAAAUUAGUGCCUACUUCUAAUG
rnacentral:tRNA from 1 species